CAAAACUCAGCAGACAUGUCAACAACAUCAACAACAACAAACCACCACUUCCCCCAAAAGCUUUGAUUAGUUCUCUUUUUUCCCAUGUACACUUCACGAUUUUGUGAUAAUAUUUUGUAAAAAAGUGUGUUGUUUCUGUCUGGGCCUAAACUUUCUGGUGGAAGUCCUUUUUGGGGUUUAAAAUUUUUUUGCUUAUAUUAGACCGAAGUAAGAAUUAAAUCUCUCCUAGAGAAGAGAAAGAGAGAGAAGUAGUUUGUUGAGCUCUCAUUUUCUACUGUUUGAUCCCUUUGUUUGGUUUGUUUGUUAGUUCCCAUAUGAUUGACUCUACUUGAAGCAAUCUCUCAUUCCCUUUCUCCCUAAUGGGCAGUGGGUUUGCAUCAUUUUCUUGUAUCUAUCUUCUAAAUCAGCUUGUAAACAUUUUUGCUUUCUUGGAGGGGACCUGGAGUUAAAAGUCUUCCCUCUUUUUUUUUUUUUUUUAAGUUAGUGCUAUUUGUGAAAUGGGAUGCUGGGGUUUUGAUAUGGUCACCAGGGAAUAUUUGGGUUCUUUGUGGUUUUCAAGGAGGAGGGGAUUAGGGUUUGUGUUUAGGGUUGUGUUUGGAUUAUGGUUUGGUUUUGUGCUGUUAAAGCCAGUGGCUGGAUUGAGACCAAUAAGAGAGAGGGCUCGGUCAUGGGGCGAUGAGUGGCUAUUUGUUAGAAAAGAUGAAAGUGAAUUGGGUCCUUUUCAUGCAUGGAAUAUAACUGGAACUUACCGAGGGACUUGGAAAUUUUUGGAGUCUACAAAUAGCUCUUCCAAAUUUCCUGAUUUCCGGAAAUUGGCUGGUGAUUCAGUUAUUGAAUUAGUUAGCACACCAACAAAAAUAACUGGUGUACAUUAUAUUCAGGGUGUAAUUAUUUUCCAUGAUGUGUUUGAUAAUGAACACAAUGUCGGUGGUGCUCAAAUAAGAGUAGAGGGUGUAUAUAUAUGGCCUUUCAGACAGCUUCGAAUGGUAGCUAACAGUGGAAAGGAGGGAGAGUUGAGCCAGGAAGAAGAUUAUAUUCUGUCCAAUCCAUAUCAUUUGCUUGGAGUUUUCUCAUCACAAGUGUUCCAAGAAUCUCCACGAGACAAAAUAUGGAGAAGAAAAAAUUCACCAGUUUAUGAGAUGGAGAAACAUUGCAAUAUAGAAAUUGCAGCCCAGAUUUCGCGCACCUCAUCCACCCAAAAUGAUGGAGAUCGUGAUCGUUAUCACAUUGAAGGACUGAUGGAGAGUCCUGCAGUGGAUGAUGAUGGAGAUUGUUUCUCACCUUUAUUGUUAAAUGCCACUUCUGUCAACGUUGAAGUCUAUUACAACAAAGCAGUCAACUACACCUUAAUGGUCACCUUUGUCUCUUUCAUUCAAGUCCUUUUGUUAAUUCGACAAAUGGAACACAGCAACACUCAAUCAGGAGCUGCAAAAGUUUCAAUUUUGAUGAUUGGCCAACAGGCUAUCAUGGAUGCUUAUCUUUGCCUCUUACAUCUCACUGCAGGAAUACUGGUUGAAUCCUUAUUUAAUGCUUUUGCAACGGCGGCAUUCUUCAAGUUUGUAGUCUUCUCCAUUUUUGAGAUGAGGUACCUUCUCGCAAUAUGGAAGGCAAGUAGACCUAUGAAUAAUAGUGAAGGCUGGGAGACAAUGAGGCGUGAGCUAUCAGUUCUGUAUAGCCGAUUCUAUGGGAUCCUAUUAGGAGGCAUUUUGGUCAUGUACGAGUUUCAUAACUUUUUGCGGCCAAUACUUCUUCUUUUGUACUCCUUCUGGAUACCCCAAAUUAUCACCAAUGUUAUUCGUGAUUCAAGAAAACCUUUGCAUCCUCAUUACAUCUUAGGGAUGACUAUUACUCGACUAGCAAUCCCGUUAUACAUAUUUGGAUGCCCUCACAACUUUAUGAGAAUCGAGCCUGACAAGAGCUGGUGUAUCUGUUUGGGUGUAUUCAUUGGACUUCAAGCAUCUCUUCUUCUUCUUCAGCACUAUCUUGGAUCUCGAUGGUUUAUUCCUCGUCAGAUCCUACCUGAGAAAUAUAGCUACUACAGAAGAUUUGAUCCAGAUACAAAUCAUGCCACAGACUGUGUCAUUUGUAUGACUGCCAUUGAUCUCACACAGCAUUCAAGUGAUUGCAUGGUAACGCCAUGCGAUCAUUUUUUUCAUUCGGGUUGUUUGCAAAGGUGGAUGGACAUAAAGAUGGAAUGCCCAACUUGCCGGCGUUCACUACCACCAGCUUAAAGAAAAUUUUCCACUGUCUAUAUAACAUAGGAUCCAUUGAUGAGCCCAACUUAUUCAUUGCGGUGGGAGAAAGAUUUCAGAACCCACUUUUUGCCCGGGUCCAUGUUUAGGAGAUGACUGAGAUACAGCACAAGCAAUUUAAAACUUGUUACUACUGACACUGCAACGAUUUGUAGGCAACAUUCUUGUAUUCAUUGUAUAAUUGUAUAAAUUUGAUACACUUAGAUAUUUCAUACCAAGUACAAAUUGCCUCACCAAAAAAAAAAAAAAAAGUGCAAAUUGUUUACAAUCACAUCCUUGGCUCCCAUGUUUUUUGUGUUUUUAAACUCCUUUCAAAGAUAAAUAGCAAGUGCAUUACAGAAA